GACGAACGCUGGCGGCGUGCCUAACACAUGCAAGUCGAGCGAAGUGAGUACUACGGUACGAACUUAGCGGCGGACGGGUGAGUAACGCGUGGACAAUCUACCCUGUAGACUGGGAUAACACCUCGAAAGGGGUGCUAAUACCGGAUAAUGUCGAGAAGCGGCAUCGCUUUUCGAAGAAGGGAGAGAAUCCGCUAUAGGAGGAGUCCGCGUCCCAUUAGCUAGUUGGUGAGGGUAACGGCCCACCAAGGCGACGAUGGGUAGCCGGCCUGAGAGGGUGAACGGCCACACUGGAACUGAGACACGGUCCAGACUCCUACGGGAGGCAGCUGUGGGGAAUAUUGUGCAAUGGGGGAAACCCUGACACAGCAACGCCGCGUGAGCGAAGAAGGCCUUCGGGUUGUAAAGCUCAAUAGUAUGGGAAGAUAAUGACGGUACCAUACGAAAGCCCCGGCUAACUACGUGCCAGCCGCCGCCGUAAGAC
rnacentral:rRNA from 1 species